UCUGGGACCCCCUGGGCUGCCCCUCCCUCCCCUCAGCAGCCCCUGCGCCUGACGCUGAAAGGCUGACGGGCUUGUGCUGAGCUUCUCCUCAGUGUGUCUGGCUGUCGGGUGAUGAUGCCACCUUCCCACAGGCAGGGCCCUGGCCGUCCACCAACUGGGAACCUGCAGCUUUAGCCAGAUGGCUGGAGGGGCGGCCACGGUGUCUGCCUGUCCGCCGGGCUCACUUGCCUCCUGAGGAUCAGGUCCGAGGUCUUGGUGCUCCUUCACUGCCAGGCUCCCACCCUCCCUGCCCGGCCUUGACUUCCAGAGGAGAAUGGGGAUGUGAUCAGAGAGACCAGAGAGAUUCUCAAACCCUGUCUCGACCUGAGUUUGCCCAAGCAGAGCCCGAGGCUUCCGGCCUCUGUGUGAAGUCUUCUGGGAUACUGAAACUCCAGGUGGAGAAGUUAGCUACAUGAGGACCAGACAGUACCCAGGACUUGAGCUGCCAAAGUUCUGAGAACGGACCACAAAGAAAUGGGAAAAAAUGGACCUUGGAACUGACGAUUAACUACCUGAAACAAUCAAGAUGAUGCUGGUCAGACCACUGAUGAUCAGUUUGCAGAUGACUGUCAGAGAUGACUGUGCUGCUUUUGCAUGUAACACCCCACCCCCGCCCCAUCUAUAAGAGCUGUCACCCCCUGCUUUUUGGGGGGUGGGGAUCGGCCUUUGGACAGAUGUCUGCCACCCUCCCCCCUCCAGUUGCCAGCAUCUGAAAUAAAGUGAA